AUGGGAACGCGAAGAACCUUACCUAGACUUGACAUCUCCUGAAUAGUGUAGAGAUACAUGAAGCCCUUCGGGGCAGGAAGACAGGUGGUGCAUGGUUGUCGUCAGCUCGUGUCGUGAGAUGUUGGGUUAAGUCCCGCAACGAGCGCAACCCUUGUCCUUAGUUGCCAGCGAGUAAAGUCGGGAACUCAUGGGAGACUGCCGCAGACAAUGCGGAGGAAGGCGGGGAUGACGUCAAAUCAUCAUGCCCUUUAUGAUCUGGGCUACACACGUACUACAAUGGGCUUAAAUAGAGGGAAGCAAGACCGCGAGGUGGAGCGAACCCCAAAAACAAGCUCUCAGUUCGGAUCGCAGGCUGCAACUCGCCUGCGUGAAAUCGGAAUCGCUAGUAAUCGCAGAUCAGCAUGCUGCGGUGAAUACGCUCCCGGGUCUUGUACACACCG
rnacentral:rRNA from 1 species